ensembl:snoRNA
AGCAGCCCCGUCAAAUUCGGUGCCCUCCUCUGUGGUUGGCACCGGCCCAGCUGGCUGCUACAGAAAUAUCUGCAGUUCAUGGGCCCCAGGUCUCCCUGGCUGAGCUCUGGGGACGAAAGUAUUCUGCAGACAUGU